rnacentral:rRNA from 1 species
GUCUACGGCCAUACCACCCUGAACGCGCCCGAUCUCGUCUGAUCUCGGAAGCUAAAGCAGGGUCGGGCCUGGUUAGUACUUGGAUGGAAGAAUAAGAAUGGGGUACCUGGGCAGCUCAGUAGGUU